UGAACCACUGAAAGGUGGUCUAGAAAUGAUGGAUGGUGAAAGCAACCAGAGGUCUAAGGAUGCAUCCUUCAUAAAUAUGACAGCAGGAGCAAAUGAAGAUGCUAGUCAUCGAGUUGAACAUGAUGAGAAGGCACCACUUCUUCCCAUCUAAAGUUGCACCAGUUCUUCCCAUCUAAAGUUUACUGUGGGGAGCGAUCAGUGUGUACAUUUCUAGGCAGGAAUUAUCAGUAGUUGAGAAUACCAGCACUUCCAGUGACACAAUAGAAUAAAUGCUGUAGAAGAGAUUCUUUAUUUCAUUUUGGGGUUUGUGGGAACCCACGCCAUACCUUUGAGUAAGCUAUCCACUAAACAUCUUUGGAGCAUGAGAGGCUAUUGAGCACCUGGUUUCUGGGAAAGGGGAAGGGGAGACAGGUUAAAACAAUAUUUAUAAAGAAAUGCAGCAAUUUUUGUAAUUCGUCGGUCUAUGCCAUAUCCAGAAAACUAUUACUUUUUAUUGUGAUAUCUCUUCAU
rnacentral:misc_RNA from 1 species